rnacentral:misc_RNA from 1 species
UUACAGAUGAAUCCUAGAUAUUUCGCUUGUAGCACCGACACUGUGCUGUCAUGUACACAACAACAGAGAUAUUUGAACGAGUGCCAAAUAUUAUUUUAAUAUUUUGAUAUUUAGUCUUGUUGUUGGCUAUUUCGAAAAACGUAACUAAACCAUGACGCUGUGUAAAAGUCAAAGAGCCGGUGUUGUCAAGAAGCUUCCUUCAUUUAUAAGCAAAGUACUAAAAUCAAAAAAUGAAUAACGAAUAUAUAAACCAAGUGAUGGAUGCACCGACGAAGUUUACGAUAAGUGAUGGAGGAUCACAGUCCUCUACACUUUCACCGCAAGAAUUUCGUAUAAAUGGAAAUUUGGAGACUCAUUUAUUCGAAGAAAAUAAGAUGAAUGAGUCAAUAAACGUUUCGGAUAACAUAAUAAAAUAAAGUAUUUGGAUGUCCGAAAUCUCUUCUGAAGAUUAUUUGGAUGUGACAAACAACACUACCUACUAAUAAAUUAAAAUUUGUCAUAUUAUGUUGAUGCUGCAGGAAUGUUAGAUUUUAAUCCUUAAAGUUAAAUAGACAGCACAGAAAAAAAAUAUUUAUUUAGCAAAAAAUACAAAAGGAGUAGUUUUUUCCUGUCAAUAGUUUAUUAUUAAUUUAAAAAUAGAAGUUCCACCUGAAGUACAAGUUGAAUUCAAAUCACUUAUCCUAGGCUAUCCCAGAGUCAUCUAUGGAUACGUUUCCAAGGACAUUAACAUACAAAGAAACGGUCCUCCUUACCUUUACUCAUCAUAUACAGUACCCGGCUAUAAAUUAUACACAUCGACCUUUGGACCGUCAGCUAGUUUUAACUUUGUAGUGUCGAUUGAUAGAUUGAUUUAAUGGAUAAGGAAGGUCUGGAAUGCUAGACUAUAAUGCGCUACAAAUUUAAAAUUAGCCGAUUGUCUCGUUCAAAAGUCGAUGUGCACUAUUAAUUUCUGGGUACCGUAUAUCGUUUUAGCUUCAUUGUCUAGCUUCACAGUCGACUGCUGGACAUAGGCCUCCACAAGUUCGAGCCGAAAAUGGCGUGAACUCAUGUGUGUUGCCCAUAGUCACCACGCUGGGCAGGCGGGUUGGUGACCGCAGGGCUGGCUUUGUCGCACCUAAGACGCUGCUGCCCGUCUUCGGCCUGUGUAUUUCAAAGCCAGCAGUAAGAUGGUUAUUCCGCCAUCGGUCGGCUUUUUAAGUUCCAAGGUGGUAGUAGAACUGUGUUAUCCCUUAGUCGCCUCUUACGACAACCCACCGGAAGGGAGGGGG